rnacentral:rRNA from 1 species
AUUGAACGCUGGCGGCAGGCCUAACACAUGCAAGUCGAACGAGUGGCGGACGGGCGAGUAAUGUCUGGGAACCUGCCUGACGGAGGGGGCUAACUACUGGAACCGGUAGCUAAUACCGCUUACACUCGGAUGUGCCCAGACGGGAUUAGCUAGUCGGUGGGGUAAAGGCUCACCUAGGCGACGCUCCCUAGCUGGUCUGAGAGGAUGACCAGCCACACUGGAACUGAGACACGGUCCAGACUCCUACGGGAGGCAGCAGUGGGGAAUAUUGCACAAUGGGCGCAAGCCUGAUGCAGCCAUGCCGCGUGUAUGAAGAAGGCCUUCGGGUUGUAAAGUACUUUCGGCGGGGAGGCGUUACCCGCAGAAGAAGCACCGGCUAACUCCGUGCCAGCAGCCGCGGUAAUUC